rnacentral:rRNA from 1 species
CACCGCGGUUAUACGAAAGACCCUAGUUGACAGGUGCGGCGUAAAGGGUGGUUAAGGAAAUAAUACAAUAAAGCUAAAGAUUUCCCAAACUGUCAUACGCCCCCGGAAAUACGAAACCCAAACACGAAAGUAGCUUUAAACCAAUACACCUGACCCCACGAAAGCUAAGAAA